rnacentral:tRNA from 1 species
GCCCCCGUGGCGAAACGGCAAACGCACCCGGUCUGCAACCGGGCGGCUCUGACGGGCCUUGCGGGUUCGAUUCCCGCCGGGGGUA